CGAACAUAUUUACAUUAAACAAUGAGAUUCGCAAAGCACGUAUUAGAUUAAAAGUAGUAAGAAUUUCUACAGAGAUUGAUGGCGUAGGAUCACGCUGAUGGAUGUUUUAACAGGGGAAAAACCAUAGGCCCGCGUCUGAUCAUCUGCUCUAAAUAAUAUCCUAAUCCUCCCUGAUAAAAGAAUUAUCUAUCACUCAAUCUGUUACAAAGAAAAAAACAAAUCUUGCUAAAUGCAUUUCUUUCAACAUUUUCCGAUGAUAAAGGUUUUAUCUUCUCGUGCUCUCUAUUGCAUGUCAUGUGAUGAUGAGUAGAUUAUUCUCAUAUCCAUCACUCUGAACAAUAGGGCGUAGGGGAUCAAUUCUCCACUCACCAUCAACGAUGAAUUUGAUCUCGUAUCUGCCUGGAUACAAUUUCAUGUACAAAGAAAAUACGCCUGUGCUCGACUUCUGCAUCUUUCUCUGCACCAUAGCAAUAUAAGUAUUUUUUUUCUUUUAAAGGAUAAUUCAAUUAAGGUCCUAUGUGGCCAAAAGAGUGGUUACAAAAUGAAGUUGCUGCAAGAGAUUAUACAAAAAAAGUCAUCCCUCAAAGUAAUAGCAAUAUAAGUAAGGAAAACGUUUUGGGAUCAUAACAUUGCCCGUAAUAACUAUAGCAAUAACAAAGAUUAAUAUAUUAUUUUGCAUCAAAACUAAACUAAAAAAACGUAAGCAAGUCCUAAAUAAACCAAUGAAACACAAAUUUACUAAUAUGGGCCUCUUUCAUUCUUCAGUAAAUUUAAGUUCAGGUGGUCAUCAUAUUUCUCUCUCACUACUUUUUUUUACUAACACAGGUAGCCAGAAACCAUCACAGUUCUCAAAUAUUAUUUGCAUGAACUAUAAAUUUUAGCAAUUAAUUCUCUCAAUAUGAGUAGUAAAGUUAAAAAGAAUACUGACAAUCUGAGAAAGUAAAAAAGAAAGGAUAUGACAAACCGAGAAAGCAAAAAAGAACAUGAACAAGGUAUUAAUGCAUUGAUUAAUAAUUUCAGAUGAAAUCAAACCUUGGUGGCCCAUCCAUCAAAUGAUCCAGCUAAGAGCACCUCUGAGGCAGAAUUAGGCCAAACUAUGCAGGCAGUACGAAGAAGUCGUAAAGCUCUCCGAGCAAUAUCCACUCUUUUCUGUUUCUCUUCUACUAUCUUUUGCGCAUCACUGUUGAAGUAUGAACAGGUAAUUUUGAGCAGUGAAGGAAACUAGAGUUAUGUACCAUUAAAUUCUUACAACUGUGCAUACAUUAUUGCAAGUGCCAUUUUCCCGUCUAAUACAGCUAACUUCGCUCGUAUUGACCGUAAUUUAGCCUGAGCAUUGAUGACCUCAUUUUCCUGAAACUCCCAAGCAUCAGAAAGCUUCAGCAAAUCAUCAGAAGCGCUUUCAUGAACUUUCUCUGUUACACUAUCACUAGUGUUUGAUUUUAACAUGUUAAGUACGGAGGAAAGCUCUGACUCUAAGUGCUGAAGGCAACUUCGUAUUUCAUUGCUGUUAAUCCUUCCAUGAGAAGAGUUAUCUUUCCUUCUGUUUAAAGGUGCUGUAGCACCCUCCUUUUUUUCAAGCAUUUCAUCUCCCACAGCAUCCAUUGCAUCUACUGUUCUAGUUCCGUAAGAAAUGAUUUCAUCAGCUUCAAAUUCCAUUUCUGAAAACCCUGCCCUCUUAAUGCUCCAUGUUCUCCAAGAAUCUGGCUUAAGUGAAUUCCUGAAACCAUCGAUGUUUGAUGGAGAUGUGCUGUGACUGAACUUGCUCUCUGAAUCAUUGAUUGUGCCAUUGGUUAGGUUUGAUGAUGCAGGUCUAUUGUUUCUUUCAAAGUCAGCAACUGCCACAAUUUUUGAGCUUUUAGCCAGCAAGUUGUGUUCAAGACCAUUACUUUGGACAUAAGUAUUUUCAGCUUUCUCUCUCAAACCAAACCCAAAAUUCAUAUUCCUUUCCUUCUCCAAUCGACUUAAUAUACCCUCAAUCCCGGAAUCGUUCACAGCUGCUGUUUCUAGUGAUCUACCAGACGAGGAUGCUGGAGAACAAGAAGAAACUUCAGUGCUCCGUUCUUCUUUGCCAUUCAAAACGUUCUCAGCAUUCUUGCAUUCUUUAUCUGUUAUCAAAUCCCAAUUCAUAUCACCAUUAUAAAGAACACCCGUUCCCUCACUUAAACUAUCUUCCAAAUCCCAACCAGAAGCAAGCCAGCCUCCUUGCUUCAAAAUAUCCUCUACAAGAUCCAUCCUUCCUGCAUCAAUUAACUCUUUCUUGCUUGGAAACGCCUCCGGUUUAUCUGAAUUCUUCAUGAACUCUAAAAUCUCCGCCUCCAAUGCAAAAUCUCCGUCACUUUCCCAAUCUUUUUUACACCUCCUGACAAACCCAGCACAACUCCAACAACAAUCACUAUAAUUCCUUUUCUUUACGUCAACAAACCCCAACGUAGAACCAGUAUCCUUGACUGCAAUGAAUUGCAGAGACAUAAGCCGUUUUUCCUUCUUUCUUGAAUUACCUUCAAAAAGAGGAAAGGGAAAGGUAUAGGGGCUCAAAUCAAUGAAAGAAUUCAGUGACACAAAAAAAAGGGUUGGCGCGGUAGUAAAGGAAAGCAUGGUUCAGGCAUUUCGUCGAGCACCUGUAACCCAAGGCCAGGAAAUAUUUAGUUCAUAAAGAAACGCAAGCUAAAGAAAACUAGAAAAAAGUAAAACUCUAAAGAGCUAUCACGAAGCAACGAACAAUGAAAGCGUAAAACUCAUCAAUUGUCUAGCUCAAGGCUACUGUAGUAUAGAAAACUUAAAUGGGAAGAUGGAAAGAGACGAGCUAAGUCAAUUUCCUCCUUUUUGAAACUUUUAUGUCGUCUUAUCGCGUUUUGCCAUGCGUUUUUUUGUUAACGAAAUGGGUUUGUUUGGAUAAGGUUGUAGUAGACUCACCCCUGGAAUGGUAUAGACCUUCCCAUGAAGACUGGACAAGGCACAUGACUUGUGACACCGAAAGAUUCUGCUCGUCUCCAAGGAGAAUGAGACACCUGACUACGUAAUGUAUUUAUUUAUCUCCUCUAAUUUCAUAAAGUUUAGUUAAUUAGAUUACUUUCGAAAAAAA
rnacentral:misc_RNA from 1 species